rnacentral:lncRNA from 1 species
CUUUUAAGGCCGCACCCACGGCAUACGGAGGGUCCCAGGCUAGGGGUCGAAUCAGAGCUGUUGCUGCCAGCCUACACCACAGCCACAGCAACAUGGGAUCCGAGCCACAUCUGAGACCUACACCACAGAUCACAGCAACACCAGAUCCUUUACCCUCUGAGCAAUGCCAGGGAUUGAAUCUGUGUCCUCAUGGAUGGUAGUCAGAUUCGUUUCUACUAAGCCAUGACGGGAACUCCGAGGAAUUUCUGGAUUCUGGUUGGGCUGGAUGCCCCCAAGUUUCAGGUCUCAGGUUGACCAGAGCAGUAGUAGAUCUGUUCCUCCUUAAGCCUCAGAAGAUAUGAGCUGAUAAACAAAGCUAAGAGUUGGUUAUGAAAAAAGAAAGAGGACACUUCUCUGCCAAACUUACUGUUCUUAUUUUGCAUCAUCACAGGAUGUUGAUUAUUUCAGGAUUCACAUCCAAGACUCUAUUGAAUAUAAACUAAUUAUUACCUCAAUCACUGCUAUUUAUAGUUACUUUGCCUCCAAGAAAUUUAGAGGAAGAUUUAAUUAAGUAAGAAGGCUUGACAAGGCAAUGUAUUUCUGAGAAGUUGUAGCAUGCUACAAAUGGCGACAUGAGGGCAAAUGCCAAUGGUUUUAUCCUCAAAUGAACUGUAAUAACUUCCCCGAAGUGCUCCCUUUGGAACUUCCAAUUGUUAUAAAAUGGAAUUUAUAAUUAAAUGAAGAAAUGAACACAGUGUGCUGAACUAAAAUGGAAGUCUAGGAAACUCCAACUUUUUUUUCAGUAUAAAUAAACACAAAGAAGGGAAUAAAAGAGAACUAAUAUUAUCCUAAAGUGUGUUGAGGACUUUCAUAGAUAAGAUAGUGUAUUAGACAAUUAUACUUUCAGCAUUUAAGGUAGAACUCACAAUGGUACAAUGAAGAAUGUUCAUUAAAUAAGUGGGAGAUUAAAGUAUUAAGUACAAUGGCAAUGUAUGCCAGUAAGUGGAUUUAUUAAAGGGGGAUGUGGGGAUAAAUAACAGCAAAUACUUUCCGCAGCCUAAGGCCAGACAUUGGAAAACAUAUCCAGGAAAAACUUACUUAUUUAUAAUCGAGGCCUUAGGGAUGACUAUGACUCUUCCAGGUACACUGUCAACUUGUCCACCUUUGCUCCAGGUUCUGUAUGUUCUCUCAUGAUGACUCAAAUACAUCUUGCCCCUGUUUCUAUGUCACCUUUGAUAUAAUCCAAAUAACAUUUUCUAUGGGUUUUUAAUUUAAAAUCAAGGAAAAUUCAGGCACCAUUAUAACCUAUUUAAAAAGAAAUCUGGCAUCGGAAUCAGAAAAUUGCUGUAAUCCUGCUACUUGGCAUUAUUAUUUUUGAUAAACCAUGCUUCAGUUUUCCCAACUAAAAAAAAGUAUAUUACUCUCUACCAUGAAGAGCUGUUAUACACAUUAGGCAUAACUCUGCUAAAUUUUUGCCCAGUACUUGGUAAAAGGCAAGAUCACAAUGUAUGGUAUCACUUAUUUUUAUUAUCUUUUGGAUCUGCCAUUCUUGGUCAAGUAUCAUCUAGUACAAAGGGUGAGUAUACAUGCCUGGAUUAUUGGCCAACUGGGGGACCGAUGUAGGACUAUCAGUGGUGGUCAGAAUAGUAGGGUCCUGGGAUAAACUGUACUAGCAAUGGCUGUCUAGCUGGGCUACUUAACAAAGUUCUAGGUUUCAGAUGUUAUCCUAAAGUGGGCUGGCACAAUCAUAGUUUUGCUAGUUCACUGUAGCAUCUCCAAAAAGACAACUGGUGGCAGGCUUGACCAGCUACAAUGAUUUCUUUGUAGAGAAUCUCAUCAGUGCAUAUGGUCCAAAGUUAGCAUAAUAGUUCACAAUUAAAUGUUUUACUGUAAAUCUUCCAACAAUUUUCUUUCUCUUUUGAAGAGAAAUUAUUAAUGGACUAAGUCCCACAAAUGAAAGAAUACCUCUUUGCUAAGUUUGAAACCCACUCCAAACUGACAAAUCGGAGCUUUGAAGGCUAAAUAAAAUGUUUUUGGAUUUUGCUAUCAUUUACCCAUAACCAAACCUAAUUUCCUAUUUUGGUGGAGAAAAUUAACACUAACCCUCAUUUGAAAAUCCCCAAAGAUUUUUUCAGAUACCGCAAGUCAUUUUCAGACCAAAAGCUGGAAGAACAAGCAUAAAUAAAUCAAGACAUGUGGGAUUUGUUUCCUUUUAAAAAUGUGCAUUAAUUUUUUUAAAAGUUCAGGCAAAGUCCAUUUGAAAACUUCUAAGAGUUGUACCAAGCCAAAGACGUGU